AUUGAACGCUGGCGGCUUGCCUAACACAUGCAAGUCGCGCGGGCUGUAGCAAUACAGCUAGCGGCGGACGGGUGAGGAAUACAUCGGAAUUUGCCUUUAGGUGGGGGAUAGCCCAGGGAAACUUGGAGUAAUACCGCAUGAUGUCGUGAGACCAAAGCAGGGGAUCGCAAGACCUUGCGCCUUUAGAGAAGCCGAUGUCUGAUUAGCUAGUUGGUAGGGUAACGGCCUACCAAGGAAACGAUCAGUAGCUGGUCUGAGAGGACGAUCAGCCACACCGGAACUGAGACACGGUCCGGACUCCUACGGGAGGCAGCAGUGGGGAAUAUUGGACAAUGGGCGCAAGCCUGAUCCAGCAAUGCCGCGUGUGUGAAGAAGGCCUUCGGGUUGUAAAGCACUUUAAGCUGGGAAGAAAAAAUCGGAACUAACAUUUCCGGUCUUGACGGUACCAGAAGAAUAAGCACCGGCUAACUCUGUGCCAGCAGCCGCCGUAAAAC
rnacentral:rRNA from 1 species